UUUAAUUUUUUUUUCCCGAAGAAUAGUUGAGCAAAGUGAUCUUGAUUUUUCGCGACGCUGGUGCACAGAUGUGGCGAUGCAGAGGAUAAGAUUUCUAGUCUCAUAAAUUAUUCAUCGUGUGAUCUAGCCCCACUCAAGAAAGAUUUUCAGUGUCAGUUGCACCAGCCCGGUAUCACAGACAAAUAAGACGUAACACGAGAUGAAUUUUCAUCACUCGUAGAAAAAACGGUCGAUUUCAAUUACAAAUCGGUGGCGUUAGUGAGAUUUUGACACAGAGCUAAUUGCGUUACUUAGUUUCCGCACCCACCCGAAAACGUUACGGUCUUUUUAAUCUCAUGCAAACCAAAACAAACAAUAUGGGCCGGAAAUGUGAAAUUCAUUCUUGUCGAAGUGCCCAAGGUGGGAGUUGUUCACAAUAAUUUCUUAAGUUACAACACGAUGCCAAUCGGUGAGUAAGCACAUAACAGGACGUUAGUAAUUUAAUUGAUUCGGUGUAUCGAAUGUAUGCAAUGGAUUGGAAUUCGUUGGUCCCCGGAACUGCUGGAGAAAUUGGCGGGGUGCAGGUGCUACAAAAACUAGAGAACGCUCAGACCAUUUUCAAUCAGACUUGUUUAGUGAUCAGUUUCAACCUAACAGGAGGUAACACGUCAAGUCGUGGAAUGAUUAUGAUUGAUAGUAACUGUAUAUUUAGGUUUCGUCAGGGUGUAGAUCUGUAUUAUUCCAGCAAAUCGAGCAUACUUUGCACUCAAGAUAGAAGCAGACCGUACGUUCUAAGAAAAUGUGGUGCCAGGGAAUAGUAUUCCUUAUCAUUGGCGAUUUUGCACUUACAAGAAGUAAAAGUAAACACCAGCCUGGAAAAUGAAGUAAUGUGUCUCCCUUGAAAGGUGACCUUACACGAUCAUUAAAAGUGACAUUUCUGCGCAGUAAUGCCAAUAAUAACGCCUCGUGUUAGGGUUCCUGAUAUCUGCGGGAUUCUAAAAGAGCGACGGUAAACAACCCAGGGACAACUUGACAGAUAGUUAUUGUUUCAUAUAUGCACCACCGAUUUGAUGGUGGCGCUAGUAUGCCUUCUCUGUAUGAGUACCACGAACAACGAAACGAAAACGUUUCAAGAGAAAAGCGUGUUUCGUUACGUGUGCUAUGAACGCCAUCAAUGCGGCUAGAACAACAUUUAGAAAUAGCUUAUUCCAAAAUGUGAAUAAAGAAAACUAUUAUUAGAGAAUAAAUUUAUCCCUAACUGAAAACCGUCAGCAAAAUUACAUAAAUCUUAUUAUAUAUUUAGCUGGAAGUAGAGGUGUGCGCCGCCGCGCCACGCCGCCGCCGCUGAUGAUUUUGACACGCCGCCGAUUUUAGGAAAAAAUGGUCAGCGCGCCGAUUGCCUUUUUUGUGCUGCUCCGCCGAUCAUAUUUAAACUCGCGCCGAGUCCAUUGUAAACGACCCAAUGGGUCACGCGCCUCAUCGAGACGACCAGAUCUAAAAAACCCAUAAACUUAACGAUCAUGACAGGAGACCCACCGUGUACUCGAUCGCGCUGGUAUGAAACGACAACCAGUAGAAGAAAGCCAAUCCGCGUGUGCUGAAGAUUAUAUUCUAAAAAGUUUACUCGAUUUAUAAAUUAUAAAGAUUUAUUUGAAAUUGUAUUUAAAACACAGUUAUACGCUGCAAUUUGCAAGUCGCGUUAGAUGUAUUAACUCGUAAAGCAGCUGUGAUCAUUAUCGGUGAUAGAAAUUCACAUUUAACAAUCUGUAACUAAUUCGAGUCACGAUUAGGUCACUAGUGACGCUGCUGAAGAAUUGACACGAAGUCACAAAUAAGUUGCGAACGCAAAUAUAGGAGGAAUAGAAGAGGAAUAAAUACUAAACGUAAGUUAUGCGCUCUGAAUUGUAUAUAGCAUAUGCUUAUAACAUAUCAUUGUCAUCCUAGGAAGUUUUUAUUAUUCAUUGUGAAUAAAUAAUUAUUCGGAAAUCAUUUGAUCCUCUCAUUGCGAAGCAACAAUUUGACCUGAAUGUGUAUUGAGUGAAAGAAUUUUGGUUUACUUUACGAUAAUCUUAUUGGUUGUAAUAGUUUUGUGUGAUUCUUACCAUUACCAAUCUUGAGGCAGCAUAUUGUAGUCCAUAUGGAAACAAAGCUGCUUUCGAACCGCACGGCAAUUCAGCAAGAAAUUAAACUGUCACCGUAUCUGUGAGCGGUUUGCUUAUGAACUGUGAAUUUAUAUAGUGUUCCGCUGUUUAAAGACUGGACAAGCGAAUAUCAGCCGAAUAGGUCGGUAAAAGGUAUUAAGAUAUUCAGAAGUUAAGCAAUAUACUUGUUCUAAGCGUUUCUUGUUUUACUAAUCAAUCAAUCGAUAUGAUAAUAAAAUAGCCUGGACAAUACUUUUGCUGACUUCCUACUCGCAUAGUCAUCCGGAUCGCAGCAAUCAACAGUCAGUCUGUGGAAACCAUAAUACUCCCUACUGUUGAAUUCUCAGUAGUUAAAGACACAAGUUACUUAGUGCAAGAACAUAUUUGGCUCAUGCGGAAUUAGAUAGCAUAUCGACCGAAUGAUGUCACUUUUUCAUGGUUAGAAUCAGUUAAAACUUAAUGAACCGACAUAUAAGCCAGUACAAUUGUUUCUACAAAAUCUGUGUAAAUAUUUAAAUAAAAAUACGUUGCAAAUUACCAUCGCACGCGUGAAUCACCAUUCUACUCAAAUUUGCACGCAAGCAAAGCUCGUAUAGCGAUUGCUGAACAUCUACUGGCGAUGUUGAAAGCAGGCCUCGAAA